GAUGAACGCUAGCGGCAGGCCUAACACAUGCGAAGUCGAGGGGCGAGCGGGUGUAGCAAUACGACUGCCGGCGACCGGCGACGGGUGCGUAACGCGUAUGCAACCUGCCCUGUACAGGGGUAUAACGGGGUGAAAACCCCACUAAUCCCCCAUGACGACGUGUUCUCGCAUGGGAGUGCGUCUAAAGCCUUGGUGGUACAGGAUGGGCAUGCGUGACAUUAGCUAGUUGGCGGGGCAACGGCCCACCAAGGCGACGAUGUCUAGGGAGCUGAGAGGCUAAUCCCCCACACUGGUACUGAGACACGGACCAGACUCCUACGGGAGGCAGCAGUGAGGAAUAUUGGUCAAUGGUCGGAGGACUGAACCAGCCAUGCCGCGUGAGGGAGGAAGGCCCUACGGGUUGUAAACCUCUUUUAACCGGGAGUAAUAAGGGCGGUGCGCCGUCCGAUGAGAGUACCGGUGGAAUAAGCAUCGGCUAACUACGUGCC
rnacentral:rRNA from 1 species